CCCACUGUCUUUGGGAAGACGGGUUGCUGGGUAAAUUUUCGUUCGGGCAAGUAAUUUUCCAUGCAUCCAUAGCCUCGGCUAAAUACGGCACCUCGAAAUCAGCCAGUGUUGGAGUAAGUAUAUUCCUGGUUAAUUUCUCAGUGCCGUGAACUGAGGAUAUGAAUGCCGGUAAACUAAUACUGGUAAUUUUGCGGACGCCGAGACCUCCCAUGUGUGUUAAUUAUUAUUCUAGUAUUCAGGAUAACUCGCCCUAUGAUUUUGUUUCUACGCGAGCUAAAUUCUAGAUUUGAACUGUCAAGUCUGUGUCAUUCGAAACUAUAGUUAUAUGUCAAUGUUCGAAACCGUGUACCUGUCAAAUCAUCCAUCAGUAAAGUAAGUCAAAGUCAAAACACUAACCUAACUUUUCGAAAUCUUCAUAAAAGAUAGUUUUGGGGUUAUUUAUGAAAUAAAACAGGCACAAUGCAAAGACUUAUGUCCGUUUUGAAAAUAUUGACACCUAUAAGGAGUUUUCCAAUCAGCCAUGUACCGCUAUUGUCGAAAUUCAGCACAUUUCAACAUGUUAUUCGGCAGCCACUGUUACAGCCAUCUCUCCCAAUGAUCAAUCCAGUUUGUGGUUUCAAAGUAAAGGGUCGCCUGAGACGACGCUGUAAAUCAUGCUAUUUUGUUGUUAGAGAUGAAAGGUUGUAUGUAAUCUGUCCAAAGUCUCCCCGUCAUAAACAGAUGGCAAUGAAACCUAAACCGUUAAAUACAUGGAUCUUAACACAUGCUAGCCAGAGUCCAGUGCGACCAUGGUAACAUUUACUCUUAACUAUAAGCAAAAGAAAAGUGUUUUAAUUAUCUUGUUUUAGUUGAUUUUAGUAAUUAAAUAAUUUUAGUAUCUAA